GACGAACGCUGGCGGCGUGCUUAACACAUGCAAGUCGAACGCGCCUGUCCUCUGGGUUUCUGGGGGGUGGGUGAGUGGCGAACGGGUGAGUAACACGUGAGUAACCUGCCCCCUUCUUCGGGAUAACGGUCUGAAAGGGCUGCUAAUACCGGGUAUUCACUGGUCUCCGCAUGGGGUCUGGUGGAAAGGUUUUUUUCUGGUGGGGGAUGGGCUCGCGGCCUAUCAGCUUGUUGGUGGGGUGAUGGCCCACCAAGGCUUUGACGGGUAGCCGGCCUGAGAGGGGCACCGGCACAUUGGGGGCUGUGAAACGGCCCAGACUCCUACGGGAGGCAAACGGGGGGAAUAUGGCACAAGGGGCGCAAGCCUGGGGCAGCGCCGCCGCGUGGGGGAUGGGGGCCUUCGGGUUGUGAACCUUUUUCGCCCGUGGUCAACCCGCGACGGGGGGCGGGGUGAGGGGGGUGGGUAAAGAAGCCCCGGCUACCUACGU
rnacentral:rRNA from 1 species